AUUGAACGCUGGCGGCAGGCUUAACACAUGCAAGUCGAGCGGAGCGAGGGUGCUUGCACCUUAGCUUAGCGGCGGACGGGUUAGUAAUGCUUAGGAAUCUGCCUAUUAGUGGGGGACAACAUUCCGAAAGGGAUGCUAAUACCGCAUACGCCCUACGGGGGAAAGCAGGGGAUCUUCGGACCUUGCGCUAAUAGAUGAGCCUAAGUCGGAUUAGCUAGUUGGUGGGGUAAAGGCCGACCAAGGCGACGAUCUGUAGCGGGUCUGAGAGGAUGAUCCGCCACACUGGGACUGAGACACGGCCCAGACUCCUACGGGAGGCAGCAGUGGGGAAUAUUGGACAAUGGGCGGAAGCCUGAUCUAGCCAUGCCGCGUGUGUGAAGAAGGCCUUUUGGUUGUAAAGCACUUUAAGCGAGGAGGAGGCUACUAAUAUUAAUACUACUGGAUAGUGGACGUUACUCGCAGAAUAAGCACCGGCUAACUCUGUGCCAGCCGCCGCCGUAA
rnacentral:rRNA from 1 species